ensembl:lncRNA
CGCGCGUAUACAUGCGCAUGUGGGUAAAAAAAUAAAAAUAAACAGGCAGUGCAAAGUUUCUAUUUUGAAAGCUUUUAAUCGGCGACGUGACACCAGAAUGACAACCGGAACGACAGCGUUACCAAACAAGCCGGCUGAGACUGGAACAACAACGUUAGCUAAUAGCAUCAUUAGCCUUCUCCCUGCGUGGCUUGGACAUGGUCUGUUCUGUGUUUGCACUAUACGUUGACUAGCAGAUUGCCCGAACAGGCUGACAGUUACUAGCUAGCUCAGCAGUGCCGGGUGAAAACUGCCAUCUUCCUGUGGAUUUACAGCUGCCGCUUCUGCUACUUCAAUUAGUUCUAUAGCACACAGAUGUUGCUUAAAUGUAGCUGCUAAUGAUGCCGCAAUAAGCCUAAGAUUCAUGCCAUAUUCACAGGCACGUAAAUUUCUCAAGUGGCACAAUUAAAGUGGGAAUAUUGGGAGGGUGUGUGAAGGAAGCUUGGCAGUUGGAGGGAACUUGGAAAGCUGUCCACCUGUUCCUCUAUUGGUCGGGAUCAAAUUAAACUGGAACACCAUUUUGGACUGUUAGCCAAUCUGGGGGUUUUGUGCGAAUUUCAGCCUUCUGAAGAACUGCGGGGCUUGUCGAAGUGGUAACUCCGUGGCAACCGCAUGGAGCUACAGCCAAAACAAGUCAGUUUAAUGCACUCCUUUGUCAAAAGGCUUUCUGAAAGGCAGAGAUUGAUUCACAGUGAAGGUUUGGGUGGCAUUCCCUGUGUUCUUCAAGUCUUUCAGCGUGAAUUCCCUCCGCAUCCGUAAUGACCGCCUAUUACCUGUUUAGUGAACUACUUAUUGACCGGGACCCAUACAGAUCAGCUUCAUUAUGAAGCAGGACAAUUAUCCCAAACACACUGGAAUAGCUACCAAGUUUUAAAUAUCUGGACUGGCAAGGUCAAUCACCCAAACUCAAUUCAAUGUGGAGAUGCUCAAGGCAAGACGGAAGGCAAAAGGGCCCAGGAACAAGCCAGAACUGAAGCCACACGCCUGGCAGAAAACAACUGUGAAAGCUCCUCAGCAUCUACUUAUGUCAGUGGUCCUCAGACUUCUGGCCAUCGUGGCAUGCAAAGGAUAUGCAACCACACAGCUCCGGAAAACAUGAAGAGACCCCUACAG